AGUGAACGCUGGCGAUAGGCCUAACACAUGCCAGUCGAACGGCAGCACAGUAAGAGCUUGCUCUUACGGGUGGCGAGUGGCGGACGGGUGAGGAAUACAUCGGAAUCUACUUUUUCGUGGGGGAUAACGUAGGGAAACUUACGCUAAUACCGCAUACGACCUACGGGUGAAAGCAGGGGAUCUUCGGACCUUGCGCGAUUGAAUGAGCCUAUGUCGGAUUAGCUAGUUGGCGGGGUAAAGGCCCACCAAGGCGACGAUCCGUAGCUGGUCUGAGAGGAUGAUCAGCCACACUGGAACUGAGACACGGUCCAGACUCCUACGGGAGGCAGCAGUGGGGAAUAUUGGACAAUGGGCGCAAGCCUGAUCCAGCCAUACCGCGUGGGUGAAGAAGGCCUUCGGGUUGUAAAGCCCUUUUGUUGGGAAAGAAAAGCAGCAGGUUAAUACCCCGCUGUUCUGACGGUACCCAAAGAAUAAGCACCGGCUAACUUCGUG
rnacentral:rRNA from 1 species